CCUGUCUGUAGAGGCACUGCAGGUAUGAUCGCUGUGUCACAUGUGCAUCUGUAGGUGGCAGAGAGAACACUGUCUAUGCUCAGUGCUCUGACCUGUGAACAUCUGAACAAUUCGUAACCUAACACU